AUUGAACGCUGGCGGCAUGCCUUACACAUGCAAGUCGAACGGCAGCACGGGAGCAAUCCUGGUGGCGAGUGGCGAACGGGUGAAUAAUGUAUCGGAACGUACCUUUCAGUGGGGGAUAACGUAGCGAAAGUUACGCUAAUACCGCAUAUUCUGUGAGCAGGAAAGCAGGGGGAUCGCAAGACCUUGCGCUGAUUGAGCGGCCGAUAUCAGAUUAGCUAGUUGGUGAGGUAAAGGGCUCACCAAGGCGACGAUCUGUAGCGGGUCUGAGAGGAUGAUCCGCCACACUGGAACUGAGACACGGUCCAGACUCCUACGGGAGGCAGCAGUGGGGAAUUUUGGACAAUGGGCGCAAGCCUGAUCCAGCCAUGCCGCGUGAGUGAAGAAGGCCUCGG
rnacentral:rRNA from 1 species